rnacentral:rRNA from 1 species
UACGUAGGUGGCAAGCGUUAUUCGGAAUCACUAGGCGUAAAGCGCACGUAGGCGGGUUGGCAAGUCUUUUGUGAAAGCUCCCGGCUCAACUGGGAGAGGGCAAAGGAAACUACUAGACUAGAGUGUGGUAGGGGAUACUGGAAUUCCUGGUGUAGCGGUGAAAUGCGUAGAUAUCAGGAGGAAUACCUAUGGCGAAAGCGGGUAUCUGGGCCAUCACUGACGCUGAGCUGCGAAAGCUAGGGGAGCAAACAGG